GCCAACAUAGCUCAGUUGGUAGAGCAAUGCUUUCGUAAAGCAUGGGUCGUCGGUUCAAGUCCGACUGUUGGCUCCA
rnacentral:tRNA from 1 species